UACGGAGGGGGCAAGCGUUAUUCGGAAUUAUUGGGCGUAAAGGGCGCGUAGGCGGCUAGAUGUGUCAAAGGUGAAAUCCCUCGGCUCAACUGAGGAACUGCCUUUGAAACUGUCUGGCUUGAGGCCGGGAGAGGGUAGCGGAAUUCCCAGUGUAGCGGUGAAAUGCGUAGAUAUUGGGAGGAACACCAGUGGCGAAGGCGGCUACCUGGACAGGAACUGACACUGAGGCACGAAAGCGUGGGGAGCAAACAGG
rnacentral:rRNA from 1 species